rnacentral:rRNA from 1 species
GAUCCUGGCUCAGGACGAACGCUGGCGGCAUGCCUAAUACAUGCAAGUCGAACGCUUUGAUUUCACCGGGUGCUUGCACCCACCGAAGUCAAAGAGUGGCGGACGGGUGAGUAACACGUGGGUAACCUGCCCAUAAGAGGGGGAUAACAUUCGGAAACGGAUGCUAAUACCGCAUACUUCUAAUCGCCUCCUGGCGAAUGGAAAAAAGGUGGCUUCGGCUACCGCUUAUGGAUGGACCCGCGGCGUAUUAG